GGCAGGACUUCGCAUGGCGCGUAUCCCAUGAACUCCCCCAGGGCAGGAAUGCAGCAAGGGUCAGUGGGCUCUAGCGGGUGUGCGAAGUCCCCUUAUA
rnacentral:SRP_RNA from 1 species